GAUGGCGCUUUCUAACUGCAGAUGACUUUGGAUCAAAAGUCAUUCUUGCUUGUGCUAGUGAGUUUUGCAUUAAGAUUGUUGACUCAAUAGUAUCGCAUGGAUGAAUUUCGUGGAAGGGCAGAGUGAAAAAUAGAAUCUUAGAAUUGGAUUUAUUUGGGUUUGAAGCAAACAUUUUUUUUUAUAUUUGACUAUGCAAUUCUUAACAAGAGAUUUACUAUGUUGAUAUUUUUAUAAAUAUAAUAUUUUAUUUUUCAGUUAA